rnacentral:rRNA from 1 species
CACGUAGGGUGCGAGCGUUGUCCGGAAUCAUUGGGCGUAAAGCGCACGUAGGCGGUCUGUUAUGUCGGAUGUGAAAGCCCUUGGCUCAACUGAGGAAGUGCAUCCGAAACUGGCAGGCUAGAGUACUAAAGAGGAUCGCGGAAUUCCCGGUGUAGAGGUGAAAUUCGUAGAUAUCGGGAGGAACACCGGUGGCGAAGGCGGCGAUCUGGGUAGAUACUGACGCUGAGGUGCGAAAGCGUGGGGAGCAAACAGG